rnacentral:lncRNA from 1 species
AGUCGCCGAGCCGGUCAGCAGCGUGCACGGAGAUCUUCACUCUGCGCCCAGCCCCGGGACACAGGUGCAGAUCUCCAGCGGAGCACUGCGGAGUGCGCGCCGUCGAGCACUAGGGAAUCCUAGACGGAGGACUUGGUCCAUUCCACGCAGUCCCAGGCAGGUCCGCAGCGGAGGGACGCAGCGGUCUCCAACUCCUGGUCACGACUUCGGCGACCCUCCACCCCCUGAGAGACCUGGUCCCACGGAGCUGUCCCCCCAGGAGCCGCAGCGGGAAUAGCAAAGCAAAGGGGACCACUCAGCCCCCAGGAGGAGCCCUGAAGCAAAAAGGUUGCUGCGGGGAGCCACGUUCCCUCUGGUUCACCUCGAAGCCCAGGAGCUCCGGUCCCUGGACCAAGGAGUGAACAGACCUGAGGAAGAGGUGCAAGCUUAAAGUGUUGCUGCCAGACCUUUCUUCUCUUCUAAUCACUUGAAAAUAUUGGCUAUUUCCUUCUGACCCCCAUGGUUUCUUUUAAAAAAUUUGCUGUUGUUUGAAUUAUUUUUCUCUACAGGUAUUGACUGCUGCCUCAUGAAGGCUGGUCCUGUCUCUAUAGUGAAUAUUGUGCACCUCAGGGUAGAAUGGAGAGCAGAAGACUUCAAAUCAGGCAGUCUGGGUUCAGACCCCAAUUCUAGUGCUAAAUAGCUACGUGACUUUAGGCCGAUUGUGUGUGACUUCCCUGAGCCCCAGUCUCUUUGCCUGCAAAAUGAGAAAAAUUAUAACAAUGUCAUCGGUUGUUCUGAGGAUUCUGAGAGGAAUUAGUAGGAGAGAGAACUAAGAAGCUGCGGGCCUCUACAGAGCCAUUCAACUGGCAUUUCGGAAGAUGUUGCCCAUCAGAGUCAGACCUUCUUAGCAUCUUCCGGCUGGGCCCAAACUUCCCAAGACCAUUUGGACAAGGUCAUCUCUAUCCCACCAUGGCCUCCUCCCAGAGGAGGAGAAGAAUCAUGCUGUUACAGCAGAACCGAAGAUUUGGGCAAGGGAGCUAAUGAUUAUGUUCUGCGUCAGGUCAGAGAUGGGCUGGGAAAGCCACUCCAAAGCCAAGACAAGCAGUUUCCUGGAAAAAGAAGGCUGCGCGGAGCCCAGAGUGGCCUGGAUCCUGCCUCAUUUCCUGGACCAGCUCCUUAGGUGGUUACUGGAUUGCCAAUAAAGCAGAGCUUAUUAAAGUCAACGAGCUCAGGCUUCAUCGCCGCCAUGGUAUCCAAGCACCAGUCUGUCUGGGAUUUCAUUUGCCAGAUGGACAAAGGAGAGGUUGUUCCAAUACAUAUCCUGAGUGGUGGGGGUGGGGAGAGAAGGGGAAGAAUGCUCUCUAGAGAAUUCUCUUUGUCCUCUGAAGUAAAUAGAGAUCAUGUCUUCCCCAGCCACACUCAGUGAUCUGAAUCUCUUGGACUGUGGAUUUUUCCUUUACCUGCUGUGAAGCCUUGAAAAGUAUGAAUUAGCUUGAUAAUGAUCCUCUAAAGAUGUUCAAGAGUUAAAGACGUGUUUAAGUUCUUCAGGCAAUCCAAUAUGACUACGGGUUUCCAAAAAUUUGAAGGAAACUGAAAAUCAUAGUUCCCAAACCAGAUAUUUUCCGGUGUCCAGAUGUUCACUGGCAUGCAAACCAAAUGUCUGGAUUAUGAGCUCCUUUUUUCAUUUCUUUUUAUCAGCUUACAUCCAGAUGUUGGAUCCAACUGGUCAGAGGCCUGGGGCAGAGACAGAAAUCAAAUCUAGGGUGUUCAUCUAGAGUCUCCUGCUCCUCCAUUCCUGCUUCCUCCUCACGCUGCCCCCACAUCCUCCCCAACUCACCUUCAUGCUACAUCUCGGCAAAUACAGCUCAUAUCCAGGCACGGUGCAGCCCUUGACAGCUGGGUCCGCAAAGGCAGAUCGGGUAUAUCUUUAAAGAAAAGUUAUCUUAACCAUUGAGAAGCCUUCCUUCCUCAGAGGAGAGCACCUCCCCAGCAGACCUCCGAGGAGACCAAGGGCAGGACAGGAAGGGUGAAAGGAAGUUUCAGGACUGCAGGAAAUAAGAGCUUGGAGGUCAAGGGAGAGAUCAGAUAAAACAUGAAUCUGAUCAGCAUCCUAGUGGUCUAGAGUGGAGACAAUCUGCGGAGUCAACCUCAGUAAGGACACACAUAGAGAAGAACCAAAGCCUCUAAAGACGAAGCUGAGAAGUGUACGGUCGUAGAAGACUCGUGUCUGUUAUUCUUAAAAGCUCAAGGAGAUGUUCUGCCAAUUGAAUGGAAACUGUCCAUAGUGGGGAGCAGAGAGCCUCAUCUUUUCUGGAACUGAACAUCCAUCCUUAAGGCCAGAUUUCUCCCAUCACCAACUUUAACUCCUGCCCUAGCCCUCUCUCUUCCUUUUCAAAACCCUCUCCACCCAGGAAGGGAGAUUCUGGAGCCAAGACUGUACCAGCCACACCUCCCCAGAGUUGUUAAGGAAGGAACUCGAAGCCAGGGGUGGUCUUCUGGCAAGCACCCCCACUACCAGUAGCAGGACAGAUGUGUUUCUAAUGGACUACACUAUCCCCGGAGGUCACAUGAUUCAGGCUGCCAAGGGUACCUGCCCUUGGGAAAUCAACUCCCGAAGAUAAAUUGGGAUUGGGUCCUGAGAAGAUCCAUGGAAGCCCAGAGGACCCUGCCUCUCUCUGUUGCUUCAUGCUGUAGAGGCAGUACUGGGGAGGGCCUGCCCCACAUCCGGCAGGGCAGCUGGAACCAUGUGUUUGAUGACACUCUGCUCCCUCAAUGUGGAGCCUCAUCCUCAUCUCACAGUCUAGCAGGCCUCUGGUGGGUUAGGCUUGUCUCACCCAGUGUGUGAGUUUUUUUGGAAGUGACCUGAUUUUGGAGUUUCCCUCCAAGCCUUUCUCAGGUACAUGCUUUCUCUUUUAUUCUGUCUUCUUUUUUUGAUCUUCUUAAAUCUGAUUUUCUCCUUUUUCCCUCUCUUGUCUCCAUCUUUUUUCCAGUCUCUCGCUUCUCUUUAUUUCUCCCCAUAUUUCACUCUGUUCUCUCACCCCAACCUUUCCCUUCUGUUUCUCUCCCUCCCUCUCUUCCCACCCCCUGCCUGGCCUUCCAUAUAUCAAGCAGAGUUUUAUCACCUUAUGCAGGGGCAGCCCUGCCACCUGCCAUAAAGUUGAUAGGCUAAUGACAUUUUGUGGAUAUUGCCAUGUCACAAGUCCAGGACAGCAUCAAAAAUAGCCCUGAUGUCUAAACCACUUCAGCUAUCUUUUUUAUUUUUAAAAUAAAUACAUUCACAUGCUUUUAAGAAACUAUAAAAAUAUAUAAAGUAAAAAGAUCUUUCUCUCACACUGUCUCCACCUCUCCUGGUCUCACCGUUGUGCUUAGGGGAAACCAUUGUGAUUAGUUUCUCCUGUGUCCUUCCAGAGUGUCUUUAUGCAAAUGAAAAUUAUUGUGAUAAUAUAUUCCUAUUUUCCCCCUUACUACACAAAAGAUAGACUACCAUAAUCCCAUUCUGCACUUUUUUUUCACUUGAUAAUAAAAACAUGAUUUUAUUAA